UGCAGUCGAGCGCUCACUUCGGUGGGAGCGGCAGACGGGUGAGUAACGCGUGGGAACAUACCUAAUAGUUCGGAAUAACAGUUGGAAACGAUUGCUAAUACCGUAUACGCCCUUCGGGGGAAAGAUUUAUCGCUAUUAGAUUGGCCCGCGUUGGAUUAGAUAGUUGGUGGGGUAAUGGCCUACCAAGUCUACGAUCUAUAGCUGGUUUUAGAGGAUGAUCAGCAACACUGGGACUGAGACACGGCCCAGACUCCUACGGGAGGCAGCAGUGGGGAAUCUUGGACAAUGGGCGCAAGCCUGAUCCAGCCAUGCCGCGUGAGUGAUGAAGGCCUUAGGGUCGUAAAGCUCUUUCGCCUGUGAAGAUAAUGACUGUAGCAGGUAAAGAAACCCCGGCUAACUCCGUGCCAGCAGCCGCGGUAAUACGGAGGGGGUUAGCGUUGUUCGGAAUUACUGGGCGUAAAGCGCGCGUAGGCGGACUGGAAAGUUGGGGGUGAAAUCCCAGGGCUCAACCCUGGAACUGCCUCCAAAACUAUCAGUCUAGAGUUCGAGAGAGGUGAGUGGAAUUCCGAGUGUAGAGGUGAAAUUCGUAGAUAUUCGGAGGAACACCAGUGGCGAAGGCGGCUCACUG
rnacentral:rRNA from 1 species